UGAGGGUUCGAGUCCCUCUCUCGGUCGUCGGGCUCAUAACCCGAAGGUCGUCGGUUCAAAUCCGGCCCCCGCAACCA
rnacentral:tRNA from 1 species